CUAUGAGCUCACAUGGCUUGUAGCUUUGCCAGAGAGCAAGCUUGGGUGAGCUAGCGGGGAAUAUCUCCUUCUGCAGUAGCCUUAAAAAAAGACUAUUGUUCAUUCUCCUGCCAGAGGCCUCGCUGCUGUGCUGCCUUACUGCUGUGCUGUCUCGCUGGUGCCAUUAAAGGACAAGCGGCUGCCAUCCCUUCAUCCAUCCGGACCUUGGUUAUUUGGACCGAAGUACUCACACACACGCCCGCACUCGGUGCCAUACACUCUCUUUAUUUUGCUGGCCAGCUAAUACCCUUGGUUUUUUUUUUUGUUUGCAUUCACAAAGACUAUCCAAAGACAUUUUGGUUAUUGUCAAAUAGACACUCUCUGAUUACGGACUGAGGAGGUUGUGGUGUUACAACCCCAGGACUGAGAAAAAGGACUCUUUACAUAAUAUAUUCACUUGUCUCCUGGUUAGGAGAAGUGACUAUUGAUGGAAAUAUUUUUCUUCUUCUUGUCUUUGUUUACAUUGUAUCCCAGAGAAGUUUUAAGUUGUUCAGGUUGAAACAUUUGCACUUAAAGUCAGUUAAGUUUCCUUUGAUAUAUCAGUGUCAAGCUGAUGUUUAAGAGGGUAUGUUAAGGACAGAUGUGCUCCAGUCCAUCAAUCCUUUAAAGUGCUGGACACCGAUGGUAAAUUGCCAUCAGACCCUAAAUAAAUUGUCCUCUGCUGUUAUCCAUAUUGCUUCACUCAUUCUUUGGUGAGUAGACGUAUUGGUUACAGUGGUACCUGCAGUGUCUUAACUAUUAAACAAGCUAAUGUAGGGCCGGGAUAUGACUAGUUUGUUGAAACAUGUCUGCUGCCAAUGUGACUGCUCACACACGGUAACAUUACCAGCACAUAGCCACAGCCGCUAUAAACAUGCUGAAAGGUCAGUCUAGCUUCUGUAGUCAGCAGCUGGAAGACUCAACACAGACCCAAGAUUCAGUGUAACGGUUAUCUAAAUGUUGUGUGUCCUGUUUGUAAGCCCAGAAAAAGAAAUUAAAUAAAAUGACGACCUUGAGCUUCAA